CAGCAGCCGCCGCGGUAAUACGAAGGGGGCGAGCGUUGUUCGGAUUUACUGGGCGUAAAGGGCGCGCAGGCGGCAGAUCAAGUCAGAUGUGAAAGCCCCGGGCUUAACCUGGGAACUGCAUUUGGGACUGGUUUGCUAGAGAUCGGGAGAGGAGAGUGGAAUUCCCAGUGUAGAGGUGAAAUGCGUAGAGAUGUGGAGGAACACCAGUGGCGAAGGCGACUCUCUGGUCUGUAACUGACGCUGAGGAGCGAAAGCGUGGGGAGCGAACAGGAUUAGAUACCCCCGUAGUCCCUGUCUCUUAUAC
rnacentral:rRNA from 1 species